CCUACGGGAGGCUGCAGUGGGGAAUAUUGGACAAUGGGGGCAACCCUGAUCCAGCCAUGCCGCGUGUGUGAAGAAGGCCCUCGGGUUGUAAAGCACUUUCAGUGAGGAAGAACGCCUGGUGGUUAAUACCCAUCAGGAAAGACAUCACUCACAGAAGAAGCACCGGCUAACUCCGUGCCAGCAGCCGCGGUAAUACGGAGGGUGCGAGCGUUAAUCGGAAUUACUGGGCGUAAAGCGCGCGUAGGUGGCUGGAUAAGCCGGUUGUGAAAGCCCCGGGCUCAACCUGGGAACGGCAUCCGGAACUGUCAAGCUAGAGUGCAGGAGAGGAAGGUAGAAUUCCCGGUGUAGCGGUGAAAUGCGUAGAGAUCGGGAGGAAUACCAGUGGCGAAGGCGGCCUUCUGGACUGACACUGACACUGAGGUGCGAAAGCGUGGGUAGCAAACAGGAUUAGAUACCCCAGUAGUC
rnacentral:rRNA from 1 species